GCACCGGUAGCCUAGUGGUUAGAGCGUCCACUUCGGAUGCGGAAGGUCGUGGGUUCGAUUCCCUGCUGAGCCA